rnacentral:rRNA from 1 species
ACGCACUGGAAGCACGGUGGUAUAGUUUCAGUUGUAGGUUAUGGUGGUGGGGUUAUUGGUAGGUAUUCAGAUCUUGGAGAACAGAUUCCAGAGGUAGAGCACUUCCAUACCAUGCGUAUAAACAUGCCUACGGGCUGGUUCUACUCAACCAAGGCUUUAAGAGGCAUUUGUAAUGUUUGGGAGAAAUGGGGAAGCGGAUUAACAAACUUCCAUGGCUCUACUGGUGAUAUAAUUUUCCUUGGAACGAGAAGUGAGAACUUGCAAGCAUGCUUCGAAGACCUUGGAAAUCUAGAAAUUCCCUUUGACAUUGGUGGUAGCGGUUCAGAUCUAAGAACCCCAUCAGCCUGCAUGGGUCCAUCUCUGUGUGAGUUUGCCUGCUAUGACACUCUUGAAUUGUGCUAUGACCUUACAAUGACAUAUCAGGAUGAGCUUCAUAGACCAAUGUGGCCUUACAAGUUCAAGAUAAAGUGUGCUGGCUGCCCAAAUGAUUGUGUGGCUUCAAAAGCAAGAGCAGAUUUUGCAAUCAUUGGAACAUGGAAGGAUGAGAUCAAGAUUGACCAAGAAGCUGUGAAGGAGUAUGCAAAGUGGAUGGAUAUUGAAAAUGAAGUUGUAAAGCUCUGUCCAACCAAGGCAAUAAAAUGGGACGGUAAGAAAAUUACUAUAGACAACAGGAACUGUGUAAGGUGUAUGCAUUGCAUCAACAAAAUGCCAAAAGCACUUAAACCAGGAGAUGAGGGGGGAGCAACAAUCUCUCAUUGGUGCUAAGGCACCUUUUUGUUGAGGGUG